GACGAACGCUGGCGGCGUGCCUAAUACAUGCAAGUUGAGCGAUGAAGCUUGGUUCUUGCACCAAUUUGAAGAGCAGCGAACGGGUGAGUAACGCGUGGGGAAUCUGCCUUUGAGCGGGGGACAACAUUUGGAAACGAAUGCUAAUACCGCAUAACAACUUUAAACAUAAUUUUUAUGUUCGAAAGAUGCAAUUGCAUCACUCAAAGAUGAUCCCGCGUUGUAUUAGCUAGUUGGUGAGGUAAAGGCUCACCAAGGCGAUGAUAGAUAGCCGACCUGAGAGGGUGAGCGAGCACAUCGGGGCUGAGACACGGCCCAAUCGCCUACGGGAGGCAGCAGUAGGGAAUACUGGGCGAAGGAGGAAAGAAUGAUCGAGAAUCGCCGCGUGCGUGAAGAAGGAUCUCGGAUCGUAAAACGCUGUUGGUAGAGAAGAAAGUCGGUGAGGGUGGAAAGGUCAUCAAGGUACCGUAACUACGCAGAGAGGGACGGCUAACUACGUG
rnacentral:rRNA from 1 species